UAUCGUUGGCCUUGCCCGCUCGAGUAUAGUACACCAUACAGGGCAUCUAGCCUACCGACGCGGUACAGUGGCGUGACAGUGGCGGCCUCUCGUGGGCGCUCGCAUCGCAACCAGACGGAUGCCGCCUGCUGCCUCGGAGUACGAGCGGCGCGAGCGUUUUCCCAGCUCAGGGCGUACAGGCAUGGGCGGUAUAGAGAGGUUCAGAACUUCAGAUAG
rnacentral:lncRNA from 2 species